rnacentral:sRNA from 1 species
UGACUAGGUAUAAUCUUACUCUAUGGC